CAUUUUAAUUCAGGUCUGUUGGAGGAGGUCAGAGAGAGGACACGACCACUGGUUGACCUUCCAGCUGACCUGGGCAAUCAGAGACACCUGUCCUUGGAAUGUACAUUCCGCCCACCAUUCCCGCAGCCGGAGCUGUUUUCGCUUUGAGAUAGUAAGGGGGUUGCUGAGACCUGCGUGGAAACCGUGACUGAAUCCCGUGAGGCCUCCUUAUGAAUUUUUAAGAUUCUGGUGGGACGGUACAGAGAUCUGCUCGUCUCGAGGUCGCCCAAGACGAGCACCAUACGCAAAUGAGACCUGAACAUUCCUUUCCCACUGUGGGUGGGUUACAAUUUGAAGGAAGCCGUUCACCCAGCCAUCUAAUUUCCCAGAGAUCUUGAUUGCGAAGGACCGUUUGCAGAUCCCAUCGGAGGGGCCCAGGUCAGGGGACACCUGGGAGCUGACUUCUCCAGAUCUACACGAGGACGACACAGAAGCCUGGGAGUCCCUUUCCCCCGUCCUCUCUGCUAUUUGGACUGCUCUAUCUGCUUUCAUCCUAGAAGGAAGAACGAGAAGAGGAUUGAACAUAUGGUGGAAAUAUCAUAAUUCUUGUGCUUUGCAUGAACUGUGAUUAUUGAUGAUCGGAAGGCUUCCUGCUUAAGAAGGGAUGUUCUUGUUGCCCUAAGAAAUGAGCCUCUCAAGAGGAACCCACAACCCAACAUGAAGAAGUAACGAGAGUGGGGUUCAGGGAAAGGGUGCAUUAGGCAAUCUACUUGGACAUCUUCUUGGCCAUGGCAAGAACUGGAGGGGCCAUGAAGGUCAAAUAAUUCUAGAACUAUUGCAGGAGAACAGACUGGCACUUGGAAACAGAGCCCUGGUCAAUGGCUAAAGAGAGCAUUAUCUAGUGUGUCUUCAGGGUAGUAAUGGUAGAUUUCCUUACAGUGGCCAUUUGAGAAUUGGGGGAAUUAGGGUUCUAGGCAUCCCAUUUCCACCUUGAGAUGCCGCUCAUGUGGUGUAUGAGAGGGUGUGGAAGCCUGUAUGGAGUAUGCUCUGUGAGCCCUGCGGUCAUUUUACCUGAUGUUCCUGUAGCUUUCACAUAUGCUGUGUCAGAUGCCUUAGAACAGCAAUGAUAACACAUUUUGGGCUAAUGAAGGGGGAGGAUGUUACUUCAGCUGCUAUUUUACAUCAUCCUCAGGAGCUUCCUGGGUGUUACCUGAAACCAGCCCCCACAGCAGAGGGUAGGGAGAGACCAAAGAAAGAGGCAGACCACUGGAGGUUGAUAGGCGGCAGAGGUAAUAAGCAAGGGAACUUCCUUAUCAGACUUGUCUUGGGCAGCCUCAAGACAAGUAGAUUUCCACGCUGCCUGCCAAAUCUUACGCUUUUAUAUAAAAGCAUUAACUGGAUUCAGUCAUGUAUACUGUCCAGAUAGUCUCAAAACUACAUUUCUGUCUCAAGGCUGUAUCCAUGGGACAGCCUCUGGGAAGUCGGAAAGCAAGCAGAAUGCACAUUACAAGGAGAGGAGUAGGGAUGGGGAACCUCCAAUUGCCCAGGUCCAGCGCACAGGUCAGCCAGAGGUCACGUCUUCUUGAUGACCUCCUCCAACAUCAGCAAAGCACCAGCAUAGGAGAAAGUGUAUCCUGUAAGUGUGCUCAAGUUUUCUCAGAUACUGUCAACAGAGAAACUGGUGGGAUGAUCUGAGAGGCUUGUGUUGAUUGACAGGGCCUUCUCCUGGAGUCUAUGCUUCAGGCGCAUUUCCUGAUGUCUCAGUAUCAACUGAACACUUUGCAGAAGACCAUGCCCUAGAGAACUGGGUGCUCCCAUUUCUCUCUCUAGUUCCAGUUUCCUUUUGUGUUUGGUUCAUGGGUAAGUGGCAGUGUGGAGAUGACUCUUAUUUGUUAGCUGGAUGCAGUGAGGACCUGCCUUUCACUAAAGUAUGUAAACGAGUGUUUAUGUAGGAAAACGUCAGAGUCCCUUCUCUUUCUCUCUCUCGCUCCAUAUGUAUAAAUAAUGUUUUUCUAAAUACCUCCACUUAUAAUGCCAUUCUCCAUGAAUUUUAUCAAAAAGCUGAGACUUUGAUGAUCAUUAUACAGGUUAUAUUAUACAUAUUAUUAUAUAGAUAUACUAUGAAAUAGAUGACUGUUAUGUAGGUUAGAAGAUUUAGAAGCCAGGGUCCCCACAAAGUUAAGCAAUUUUUAUUUGCACAGCUCAGUAAAGUGGAAACAUGGAGCAGAUCCCAGACCCUCUGGCUCCAAGGGAUCGUGUCCAACAGACAUGACAAUUCUGUUUGCACGAUGUCUGGCACCUUGUAGGUGCUCAAAAUAUAUUGUUGAGUAAAUGAAUAAAUGUCUAGAAGUCUUUUGGUCAUGAACUGAUUACCUCCAUUCUUUUUUCUUUGUUUUGAUCUGCUGUGUCAGCCUAGGCAGGUGCUCAAUUUUUCUCAUGACAAAGUCCCUCAGUCACCUUUUGCCCCU
rnacentral:lncRNA from 1 species